AAUGAACGCUGGCGGCGUGCUUAACACAUGCAAGUCGAGCGAGGCCUGGGGGGCAACUCCCAGAGUCGAGCGGCGGACGGGUGAGUAACACGUGGGUAACCUGCCCGGAAGUGGGGAAUACCUCGGGGAAACUCGAGCUAAUACCGCAUGACAUCUUUGGGACGAAAGUCCUGACGAUCAAAGCGGGGUCGCAAGAUCUCGCGCUACCGGAUGGGCCCGCGCCCGAUUAGCUAGUGGUGAGGUAACGGCUCACCAAGGCUUCGAUCGGUAACCGGCCUGAGAGGGCGAUCGGUCACACCGGAACUGAGACACGGUCCGGACUCCUACGGGAGGCAGCAGUGGGGAAUCUUGCGCAAUGGGCGAAAGCCUGACGCAGCAACGCCGCGUGGAGGAUGAAGGCCCUUGGGUUGUAAACUCCUGUCGGCUGGGAAGAAGUCGUGCGGUGCUCAUACCACCGUGCGUUGACUGUACCAG
rnacentral:rRNA from 1 species